GAAUAGGGCGUUUAGUAUUUGGUCGUAGACCCGAAACCAGGUGAUCUACCCUUGGUCAGGUUGAAGUUCAGGUAACACUGAAUGGAGGACCGAACCGACUUACGUUGAAAAGUGAGCGGAUGAACUGAGGGUAGCGGAGAAAUUCCAAUCGAACCUGGAGAUAGCUGGUUCUCUCCGAAAUAGCUUUAGGGCUAGCCUCAAGUGAUGAUUAUUGGAGGUAGAGCACUGUUUGGACGAGGGGCCCCUCUCGGGUUACCGAAUUCAGACAAACUCCGAAUGCCAAUUAAUUUAACUUGGGAGUCAGAACAUGGGUGAUAAGGUCCGUGUUCGAAAGGGAAACAGCCCAGACCACCAGCUAAGGUCCCAAAAUAUAUGUUAAGUGGAAAAGGAUGUGGCGUUGCCCAGACAACUAGGAUGUUGGCUUAGA
rnacentral:rRNA from 1 species